rnacentral:rRNA from 1 species
GACGAACGCUGGCGGCGUGCUUAACACAUGCAAGUCGAACGGAAAGGCCCUGCUUUUGUGGGGUGCUCGAGUGGCGAACGGGUGAGUAACACGUGAGUAACCUGCCCUUGACUUUGGGAUAACUUCAGGAAACUGGGGCUAAUACCGGAUAGGAGCUCCUGCUGCAUGGUGGGGGUUGGAAAGUUUCGGCGGUUGGGGAUGGACUCGCGGCUUAUCAGCUUGUUGGUGGGGUAGUGGCUUACCAAGGCUUUGACGGGUAGCCGGCCUGAGAGGGUGACCGGCCACAUUGGGACUGAGAUGCGGCCCAGACUCCUACGGGAGGCAGCAGUGGGGAAUAUUGCACGAUGGGCGGAAGCCUGAUGCAGCAACGCCGCGUGCGGGAUGACGGCCUUCGGGUUGUAAACCGCUUUCGCCUGUGACGAAGCGUGAGUGACGGUAAUGGGUAAAGAAGCACCGGCUAACUACGUG